UACGUAGGGCGCAAGCGUUAUCCGGAAUUAUUGGGCGUAAAGAGCUCGUAGGCGGUUUCUUAAGUCUGCUGUGAAAGCCCCGGGCUCAACCUGGGAAUGGCGGUGGAUACUGAGGAGCUGGAGUACGGUAGAGGAAGGUGGAAUUCCCGGUGUAGCGGUGAAAUGCGUAGAGAUCGGGAGGAACAUCAGUGGCGAAGGCGGCCUUCUGGACCAGUACUGACGCUGAGGCACGAAAGCGUGGGGAGCAAACAGG
rnacentral:rRNA from 1 species